rnacentral:rRNA from 1 species
AGAGUUUGAUCCUGGCUCAGGAUGAACGCUAGCUACAGGCUUAACACAUGCAAGUCGAGGGGCAGCGGGAUUGAAGCUUGCUUCAAUUGCCGGCGACCGGCGCACGGGUGAGUAACGCGUAUCCAACCUUCCGUACACUCAGGGAUAGCCUUUCGAAAGAAAGAUUAAUACCUGAUGGUAUGAUGAGAUUGCAUGAUAGCAUCAUUAAAGAUUUAUCGGUGUACGAUGGGGAUGCGUUCCAUUAGGCAGUAGGCGGGGUAACGGCCCACCUAGCCAACGAUGGAUAGGGGUUCUGAGAGGAAGGUCCCCCACAUUGGAACUGAGACACGGUCCAAACUCCUACGGGAGGCAGCAGUGAGGAAUAUUGGUCAAUGGACGAGAGUCUGAACCAGCCAAGUAGCGUGAAGGAUGAAGGUCCUACGGAUUGUAAACUUCUUUUAUAAGGGAAUAAACCCUCCCACGUGUGGGAGCUUGUAUGUACCUUAUGAAUAAGCAUCGGCUAACUCCGUGCCAGCAGCCGCGGUAAUACGGAGGAUGCGAGCGUUAUCCGGAUUUAUUGGGUUUAAAGGGAGCGCAGACGGGUCGUUAAGUCAGCUGUGAAAGUUUGGGGCUCAACCUCAAAAUUGCAGUUGAUACUGGCGUCCUUGAGUGCGGUUGAGGUGUGCGGAAUUCGUGGUGUAGCGGUGAAAUGCUUAGAUAUCACGAAGAACUCCGAUUGCGAAGGCAGCACACUAAGCCGUAACUGACGUUCAUGCUCGAAAGUGUGGGUAUCAAACAGGAUUAGAUACCCUGGUAGUCCACACAGUAAACGAUGGAUACUCGCUGUUGGCGAUAUACUGUCAGCGGCUUAGCGAAAGCGUUAAGUAUCCCACCUGGGGAGUACGCCGGCA